rnacentral:lncRNA from 1 species
AUGUAUGUGCUCCUUGCCCACCCGGCAGUGCCACGCGUGUGCUCCCAGUCUGUCCAUCACUGCCACAUGUGUGUUCCGUGUCCAUCAGUGCCAUGUGUGCUCCCAGUCUGUCCAUUAAUGCCAUACAUGUGGUCCCAUGCUGUCCAUCAGUACCAUGCACAUGCUCCUGGUCUGUCCAUUGGUGCCACGUGUGUGUUCUACGUCCACCCGGCAGUGCCACACGUGUGCUCCUGCUCCGUCCCGUCACUGCCACGCAGCUGGUCCCCAUCCAUCGACUGGUACCACGUGUGUGCUGCCUGCCCAUCAGUGCCAUGUAUGUGCUCCUUGCCCACCCAGCAGUGCCACACGUGUGCUCCCAGGCUGUCCAUCACUGCCACAUGUAGUCUUGGUCUGUCCAUCAGUGCCACACAUGUGGUUCCAGUCUGCCCAUCAGUGCCACACGUGUGUUCCGUGUCCAUCAGUGCCACAUGUGCACCCAAUAUGUCCAUUAAUGCCAUACAUGUAUUCCCAUGCUGUCCAUCAGUACUAUGCACAUGCUCCUGGUCUGUCCAUUGGUGCCAUGUGUGUGCUCCGUGCCCACCCAGCAGUGCCACACGUGUGCUCUUGGUCUGUCCAUCAGUGCCACACAUGUGGUUCCAGUCUGCCAAUCAGUGCCACACGUGUGUUCCGUGUCCAUCAGUGCCACAUGUGCACCCAAUAUGUCCAUUAAUGCCAUACAUGUGUUCCCAUGCUGUCCAUCAGUGCCACCCACAUGGUCCUGGUCUGUCCAUUGGUGCCACGUGUGUGUUCUACGUCCACCCGGCAGUGCCACGCGUGUGCUCCUGCUCCGUCCCGUCACUGCCACGCAGCUGGUCCCCAUCCAUCGACUGGUACCACGUGUGUGCUGCCUGCCCAUCAGUGCCAUGUAUGUGCUCCUUGCCCACCCAGCAGUGCCACACGUGUGCUCCCAGGCUGUCCAUCACUGCCACAUGUAGUCCUGGUCUGUCCAUCAGUGCCACACAUGUGGUUGCAGUCUGCCCAUCAGUGCCACACGUGUGUUCCGUGUCCAUCAGUGCCACAUGUGCACCCAAUAUGUCCAUUAAUGCCAUACAUGUAUUCCCAUGCUGUCCAUCAGUACUAUGCACAUGCUCCUGGUCUGUCCAUUGGUGCCAUGUGUGUGCUCCGUGCCCACCCAGCAGUGCCACACGUGUGCUCUUGGUCUGUCCAUCAGUGCCACACAUGUGGUUCCAGUCUGCCAAUCAGUGCCACACGUGUGUUCCGUGUCCAUCAGUGCCACAUGUGCACCCAAUAUGUCCAUUAAUGCCAUACAUGUGUUCCCAUGCUGUCCAUCAGUGCCACCCACAUGGUCCUGGUCUGUCCAUUGGUGCCACGUGUGUGUUCUACGUCCACCCAGCAGUGCCACGUGUGUGGUCCUGGUCUGUCCAUCACUGCCACACAUGUGGCUCCAGUCUGCCCAUCAGUGCCACACAUGUGUUCCAUGUCCAUCAGUGCCACAUGUGCUACCAGUCUGUCCAUUAA